rnacentral:rRNA from 1 species
GAUGAACGCUAGCGGCAGGCCUAACACAUGCAAGUCGAGGGGUAGCAGGAUUAAGCUUGCUUAAUUGCUGACGACCGGCGCACGGGUGCGUAACGCGUAUGCAACCUACCUUAUACUGGGGUAUAUCCCGGAGAAAUUCGGAUUAAUCCCCCAUAGUACUAAUGAAUCGCAUGGUUUAUUAGUUAAAGCAUUGCGGUAUAAGAUGGGCAUGCGUCCUAUUAGCUAGAUGGUGAGGUAACGGCUCACCAUGGCUACGAUAGGUAGGUGGCCUGCGAGGGUGGUGCCCGACACUGGGACUGAGGCACGGACCAGACGCCUACGGGAGGCAGCAGUGAGGAAUAUUGGUCAAUGGGCGCAAGCCUGAACCAGCCAUGCCGCGUGCAGGAGGAAUGCCCUAUGGGUUGUAAACUGCUUUUAUUUGGGAAUAAACCUCUUUACGUGUAGAGAGCUGAAGGUACCAAAUGAAUAAGCACCGGCUAACUCCGUGCCAGCCGCCGCAGUAA